rnacentral:misc_RNA from 1 species
AUUACUACUCCAUACAAAUCCUUUAUAAAAGGAGAUGUAGUGGGAUUUGGGAGAUUGCAGCUCAUAACUGCUCUCCUUAAAUAAAUUAGCAGGGAUUAUUAUCAGAGAUCCUUUUCGGUUGAUGUGAUAGUUAUCUCCUCUCAACCUUUCUUUGUAUAUUCCUAUCUGCUUCAAAUAGUCUUUUGUAAAGAAGACAAAUUGAAAC